AACGGGCUGAAUUGCCGUACCGUAAUUUUCUAGGGAAAGAACUUAGAAAUUUCCUCCUUCAUUUCCCAAACAUCCUUCUUUGCUAAGAAAUGCGAACCAGAUUAUUAAUUAUCAAAAUAAAUAUAUUUAAUUAUUAUUAUCCAUCGCUAUUCCAUUAUUAGCCUUUGAUUAUCAAAAUGUUUUUGUUAUCCUGGUUUCUCUCUUGAUUAGCCAUUAGGCUUUCGAGUGUUCCUCAAUACUUCUGGAUCCGUAUAUUUUCCAGGAAAAAGUUCACAACUUUUCUGGAAAAUAUAUUUACUUUUUCCUUGAAAACCCGUGGGAUCUCACGCUCUUGGUUUCAAAAUGGGACACCAGCAAUCCAAGGAAGAGCUGCUCUACCAGCAAGUCAAUUAUGGGAACGCGGAGGGCAUCAAAGCCCUCUGCAGAGAAGGUGCAGGCCUCGAGUGGAUUGACAGAGAGGGGAAAACCCCUUUGAUUGUAGCAUGUUUGAAUCCGGACCUUUAUAAUGUUGCAAAAACUUUGAUAGAGAUCGGCGCCAAUAUCAAUGCUUAUCGACCUGGACGCCAUGCUGGAACUCCUUUACACCAUGCAGCUAAAAGAGGCCUUGAAAAUACUGUGAAGUUACUACUUUUGCAUGGAGCAAAUGCGCUGUUAAUGAAUGAUGAUUGCCAAACUCCUCUCGAUGUUGCUAGGGCCAAGGGGCACAGUAACGUAGUUCGUGCCAUUGAGGGUCAUAUUUGCUUAUUCUCUGGUUGGCUGCGAGAGCUUUAUGGACCAGGUUUUCUUGAAGUAUUCGCACCUCAGUUAGUCUCAAGAAAAGUUUGGGUUGUCGUUUUACCCUGUGGUUCACGUAAACCUAUGAAGCCUUUUAAGCUGGAGCUUGCAAUAUACCCUAGUUUACAGGUUGCCCAGCCACGUGCAGUUAUCCCAUUAUGGAAAGCCAAUUUGGAAGAAUCAAAUCUACUCCAAUCUGAUCCUUCAGUGAUAGUACAUGAUACCUCCACCAUGUCAAGAGGCAGGAGGCGGAGACGAUGUGUUUACACCUCCCGAGAGGCGAGGUGUAGCCCUCGAAAACUUAGGCAAACUCGCAUUAAGCUUGCACCUGCUAGUGAAAGUGACAAACAACAACUUCGAUGGUUUGUUGAUGCAUGCAAGGGAAUUCCACAGGCAAUGCAUCCUCCUGCAUUUUUGCAUAAUAAUCAGGCCCCAGUUGUUCCAGCCACUGCACCACCAGCUGCUGAAGAUUUGGAAAUAGCAAUGGCAAUCAGUGCCUCAAUUCAGUCUGCCAUACAGGAGAGACCAUCUUUUCUCGAUGCCCAUCCAAGCUCUGAAGCAAGCUCAUCCACGAGUUGGAAUAACCCUAUGAACAUGAGCAGUCAUAGUGGUUUGGAUGUACCAAUAGCACCUGCUCCAAAUACUAGUUCCGAGUGGGCAGUGCAUGAAAAUGGCCCAGAAGACAAUUCAAGUCAGCAAACCCAGAACAACGACUACAUUACUUCAACUCAAAAAAAUCCCAACCCAGGUUUGAUCCCAUCAGCUCCAUCAAUCGCUGAUGAGAUUAUGGAAGAUGGUCCUAUUCAAUACCCAUCAAUUGAUUCCACUCCUGUUGACUUCUUGUCCCCAGUAAACGAGGAUGUACCUGCUACAACAGGUGAAAAGAAAGAUGAUGGAGGUGCAUCCUCAUGUGUGAUAUGUUUGGAUGCUCCAGUUGAGGCGGCAUGCAUUCCAUGUGGCCACAUGGCUGGAUGCAUGUCUUGUUUGAACGAGAUCACAACCAAGAAGUGGGGUUGCCCUGUUUGUCGUGCCAAGAUUGACCAGGUUGUAAGGCUGUAUGCUGUUUGACCAUUCAGGCAGAAUCUGGAGAAGCUUUAAAUGGUCAGUGGGUUUUGGACACUACAACGAAUUUUGUUUGUGUUUCUGUAAGGAAGACCGGUUCCUAAAUAUUUGGGGACCUCACCUGAAGGUUUCUGACUAUAUUAUUGCCUUGCACCGUGGUCUCUGAAAUAUCACUUGCCUCUGUUGCAUUUAUGGUAAGCUACAUGAACUUUGAUCUAAAUCGCCAAUGAAGGAAGGUGCUAUGACCUCUAGGUCUGCGAGGCCAGUGAUAUCUCAUAACCUCAGGGACAAGAUGUGAAAAGAAGUUGCAUGUAGAGAAAGUUGUCAGGAGAAGCACGAGCGAAGCUGCCUACGAAAUACUCUACUUCUAGUACUUUGUAUGUGUGUGUGGACAAUUUACAGAUAUUAUUGGAGCAGGAGAGUUCAGAGCAUGAUUGGGAUUUUACCUAAAGACAAGCAGUUUUAAGUUAUAAGCCAAUAGUUCUAUACAAUAUUCUUGUGUAUGGGCCUUAAUUGAGACCGGGAAGAUUGAGAUUGGUGUAAAAAACACUGUUGCAUAUAUUAUUUGCGUUACUGUCCAGGAUCAA